rnacentral:rRNA from 1 species
AAUCAACGCUGGCGGCGUGCCUCAGACAUGCAAGUCGAACGAUUAAAGCUCUCUUCGGAGAGUGUAUAGGGUGGCGCACGGGUGAGUAACACGUAAGUAAUCUACCUUUGAGUGGGGAAUAACCCGGGGAAACCCGAGCUAAUACCGCAUAAUGCAGCGGCACCGCAAGGUGACAGUUGUUAAAGGAGCAAUCCGCUUAAAGAGGAGCUUGCGGCAGAUUAGCUAGUGGUAAGGUAAUGGCUUACCAAGGCUUCGAUCUGUAUCCGGCCUGAGAGGGCGGUCGGACACACUGACACUGAAUAACGGGUCAGACUCCUACGGGAGGCGGCAGUCGGGAAUUUUGGGCAAUGGGCGAAAGCCUGACCCAGCAACGCCGCGUGAAGGAUGAAGUAUUUCGGUAUGUAAACUUCGAAAGAAUGGGAAGAAUCAAUGACGGUACCA